GCGGGAUUAGUUCAAUGGCAGAAUGUCAGCUUCCCAAGCUGAAAACGCGAGUUCGAUUCUCGUAUCCCGCUCCA
rnacentral:tRNA from 1 species